CUCAUAUUCCAGAUCCUGCCCAGUUUACAGCUGCAACACAGGACUGUUACAGCGACCUCCACACCACCCUCUUCCAGAGCUCCUUCAGAAGACUAACGAUAUGGCACAAGAUGAUUGGCAACAAGAGACACCCAGUGAUGAGCUCUCCUGAAUUGUCCCAUCUGUCC